UUUGCGGCCCCAAAUGCCUGGAGGGCGUCCCAGGCUGUGGGCCUGGUUCUGCGGGGGGUGGGGUGGCGGGUGCCCCUCGAAGGCCAGGAAGAAAAGGCGCGUGCCCCUCGAAGCUGCAGUGGUGCAGAAUCGGGCGGGGAGAGGCAGAAAAUCCAAAGUUGUCUGGCUGGAGCAGGUAAAAGGACUGGAAGCGCAAGGAUGCACCUGAAGACCCGGAAGGCGUCACGGGCAGAGAUGUAGGAUGGCGGGGUACCUGCUUGGGGACCAUGCUUGGGAAACGGAUCUAGGAACGGCGGCUGAGCGCAAGGUGGACGUGAACCAGGAGCACGUGGCCGGGCAGCAAACCAAAUGCCGUUUGGGCUGCAUUCGGUAGAGGUAUAGGGUCAAGGUUGCAGGGAGUGACAGUACUGCCCCAUGCUGCUCUGGUCACCACAAAGCAGAAAGGAUGCUGAGGAACUCGAAAGAGCGCAGAGAAGGGCAAGAAAGGUGGUGCAGGGCUUGGAGGCUCAGUGCUACGAAGAGCGGUUGAAGGAGCUGGGUUUAUUUAGCUUAAGGAAGAGGGAAGGCUGAGCGGAGACAGGGCAGCAGCCUUCUGAUCUGCGAAGGGGUGUCCCGGGGGAGAGGGAGUGGGUCUCUUCUCCCUACGACGAGAGCCAGCAGGUGGAAGCUUUACAGAGGGAGAUCCAAGCCUGAACAAAGGAGGGGUUUCCUGAGCACAGAGCUAUUCAGCAGUGGAACGCCUGCCUCCGGAAGCUGUGGGGCCUCCGUCCCCACAGGUUUUCAAGAAAAGGCUGGGCAGCCGUUUCUCUGGGAUGGGUGGAGGACUCCAAGGUGCCUUCCAACCCUGCGAUUCUAUGACCUCUUUCCUUCCGCGGGCCGGGACAAAAUCAUUCGUUUAAAUUAUAAGUAGUCCCUAACAACAAAAGCAUCCUCUCCGUGGAACCGGUGACCCAGGGAGGUGGAGGGCUUAUCUCCCCUGAGGGUGGAGUAAUUGGAGCCCUAUACUGAGCAAGGGGGUGGGCCAGAUGGCUUCAAAGCCCUUCCGAGCCCAGAGUUCCAGUCUAGGGCUCUAGCAGCUAGCUUGGACGCCCAGGCCCAAACUAGCCAUUGCAGCGGCGGCUGCUGUAUUUUAACAGGUCCAGCAAAGUCAGCCUCAUCACUCCGGUCAGCCGUGGGGCCCUCACAAAAGCUGCCAGUCCUGCGCCCACGCCUACUGCCAAGUUUGACUCCAGUGUUUUCAAGACACCUGGUCUGCGGGCCCCUGCCGCCCACGAGCCAGUCUUCAGCAUCUCUGUGAAUGGCAGCCCCCUGGCAGACAGCAGCGAAGUCUUCCUCACGCUGCCUAUUGGCGGAGGAGAGAGCAUCCGGAUAAGGGCCAGCGAGCUCUCGAAGAAGGAUCUGAUGUGUCUGAACGCACAGACUCUGGGGAGCGUGAAGAAGUUGUCGAGUCAACUUGCGCAUCUCUGUAGCAACAUGAGGAAGUAAAGAUGCCCUUCAACCAGCCGGCUAUCAGUUCAGUCCUGGCCUGGGGGAGGAGAGGCUUGGCCCGAGGACGUCCUCCAAAGGCUGCAGGACCUCUUGAGGUCUCCAUUUGGUUUCCUGCAGAACUUUUCUACGUUGCUUCUUCAAGGCCUUUGGGGAGGCCCACGGUUUCUCAUGGUUUUAAUUUUCCCUGAUAAGAGGCCCACAGUUUUCCUGUUUGUACCCCACCCCACCCCACCCCUCCCCUCCCCUCCCCUCCCCUCAUCUUGCAAGAGAUGCAGGCCGCAGUUUCUGGAGCUGCAGGAGGGCAGUGUGGUGGCUGGGAGCUGCCCUCAGUUAUCCAGGGCUGUAUUGGCUGGGUGGAAUGUGCCUUUCUUGGGGCGAGGUGGGGCAGCCGCCUGCAUCUAUCCAGCUCCUGGCUGAUUUGCCACGCAGCAGGCAGGUCACCACCUUUCCUGGGGUGGGGGGUGACCAGCAGUGCCCUUUUCAUGCCCAAGCUGCUGCUGCUGCUGCUCCUUCUGUGCAAGUCUUCCUUCUCUGGGGGUUUCGGAGCUUCCAACCUCUCCAGCCAGUCGGCCUGGAACAGCCCCAAAGCCCUUUCUGCUCCAUCUGGGUUGCUUAGGGACGGGUGGGCUUGGUUCUUCACGGCACCAGGGGGGCGGGGGGCAGUCUGGGAAUAGAACCUCCCUGGUUGAAUGCCUGCUGCUUAUUCUCUUCUUUGUCCAGGGAGUCCUUUCCUUCCUGAACCCUUCUGUUGCUUUGUAUUCCUCUUCCACUGGGGUGCAGCUGCGCCAUUUCCUCAACAACUCUGCGUUUUAUGGACUGAAUAAAGUUUGUUGUCUUGCUCGA